rnacentral:rRNA from 1 species
AGGAUAAACGCUGGCGGCGUGCCUAAUACAUGCAAGUCGAGCGGCAGCGCGGUCUUCGGACUGGCGGCGAGCGGCGGACGGCUGAGUAACACGUAGGAACGUACCCCAAAGUGAGGGAUAAGCACCAGAAAUGGUGUCUAAUACCGCAUGUGCUCUAAGGAGUAAAGCUUCGGCGCUUUGGGAACGGCCUACGCAUGAUUAGCUAGUUGGUGGGGUAACGGCCUACCAAGGCGACGACGGGUA